GAGUUUUGAUCCUGGCUCAGGAUGAACGCCGGCGGUGUGCCUAAUACAUGCAAGUCGAACGCGUUGGCCCAACUGAUUGAUUGUGCUUGCACAGGAUUGACGUUGGUUUCCCAACGAGUGGCGGACGGGUGAGUAACACGUAGGCAACCUGCCCCGAAGCGGGGGACAACAUUUGGAAACAAGUGCUAAUACCGCAUAACAACUUUGACCGCCUGGUCAAAGCUUAGAAGAUGGUUUCGGCUAUCACUUCGGGAUGGGCCUGCGGCGCAUUUAGCUUUGGUUGGUGGGGUAACGGCCUACCAAGGCGAUGAUGCGUAGCCGGAGUUCGAGAGACUGAUCGGCCACAAUGGGACUGAGACACGGCCCAUACU
rnacentral:rRNA from 1 species